rnacentral:lncRNA from 1 species
AGAGAUAGUAAGUUACCAGAUUUUCUGAAGGGCUCAUAUGUAAGAUCCCCAAGACCCCUGAGGCUCUUUAUGUUUAUAAAAAGGCAGAAACAUCCUCUAGAAGCAAGGCCGUAGUUGAGAAAAUUUUGGCCCGACAUAUACAUUGGAAAAAAGAAUUGCUAAAUGGUGCUCCAACAGACUUAGAGAUUAUGAAUAUAUCACCUUAUCUUCAACUGAUUUUAUAGAAAAUCUAUUAGAGAGAGGGCCUCUCCCUGACCAAAUCAUGCAGGUCUAUGAUUUCAAGGCCCUAUAUCCUUCAGUAAAACUCAAACCCACUUGCCUACUUCUGUAUAGGUUUAUGUUACAGCACUUGCCUGAUAGUCAAUGUGAUCCAAAGUUAAUAAGAAGAAUUUGCCACUUAGUAGUGCAUAAAUCCUAUUUUAAAUACGAUAAUAUUUUUUAUGAGCAAACAAUUGGGGUCCCUAUAGGCAACUCCUUAGCAGGGGUGUUAGCCGAAAUGGUCGUACGCUACAAAGAGACUAU